rnacentral:rRNA from 1 species
AAAAAGCUCGUAGUUGGAUCUCUGUGGGGGCGGGGCGGCCGACAACAACUCGUUGUUCGAGCUAGCACUUCCCCUGCAUCCUGCCGCGAACCGUGCUACCAUUAGUUUGGUGGCGCUGGGGAUCGGCUCGUUUACUUUGAGAAAAAUAGAGUGUUCAAAGCAGGCCACACGCCUUGAAUAAGUUAGCAUGGAAUAAUGAUAAAGGACUUCGGUUCUAUUUUGUUGGUGUUCGGGACUGAAGUAAUGAUUGAUAGGGACAGUUGGGGCGGUCCGUAUUCCAAAGCGAGAGGUGAAAUUCUUAGACCUUCGGAAGACGAACAGCUGC